CUGAUGGAUCCAUAAUAGUUUCACCACGAUAAAACAUGACACAGAUGAAGCUGAUUUGAGGGAUGCUGGGAGAACUAUACAGGAAAGAAGGCCAUCAGUUGGAUUUGCUGAUCUAGCAUUUCUCCUACUCCGACUGUUUGUCUGCCAUCUAGCUGAUGUAAGACCAGCCCGUGGUGUGACAUACUGAAACUUCCAGGCAGUAUGAUGGAGUUUUGGAGGAUCGUAAGACCACUGGCGUAGGAUUUGAGACAGUGCUUUGGGCAGUAGCAAAGAUGACAGAACGCUCUCAAGAAUGACUCACAGAUGGAGAACGCACAGAAAGACGAGGGCUUGGAAAGGGAAAGCCAGCGAACAGCGUGAGCAGUGCAGUGCUGGAGCAUGUGAGGGCAAGAAGGACUUCAACACACACACACACACACACACACACACUAAGAGCAUACCAGUGCUGUGUGUGCGUUAAGAGGGUUGGGUUUCUAAAUGACAGAUCAUUAUCAUGCUAAUUAAAGCAUUUUGUAGCUGUGACUCGUGCAGUAUUUGUGUGUGUGUGUAUGUGUGUGUCUAAUUAAGGCCAGUUCAUCAGCGCCCAGCUCAUUUACAACGUGCUAGAGCGACACCCUGAUUCAAGCACACGGACAGUAAUGAAGCUAUUAAUUAUUAUAGCACUUUAACAUAUUUAGCCUUAACUGAGCCAACACCGAACAGCUGAACCACCUCAACUGAACCACAUGAACCCAACAAAGCUUAAGCAGUUUAACACAGCCUAGCACAGCUGAGCCACCCAAACACAGUCCAACACAGGUAAACUCAGCAAAGCUAAACUAAACCAACACAGCUCAAUCAACACGUCUGAACUACACCAAAACAUUUUUUGGAUAAUAAAGGCUUUCAUGA